CGAUCAAAGAUUCCACGGUUUCCCCCUAGGACUAACAAGGCAAAUGUUGGGAAAGGCAGUCUAAUGUGCACUGCCUGUUGACCCCCCUCCAUCUAGUUUCAGAAGAACAGGGCUUGGGCCUGGAAUACUUCUUUACCAAGAGAUAAGGAACCCAUACAGUCAGUGCCAGAUUUAUCACCUUGUAUGGGAAUAUCUUCUUUUUCAGACUCAAUGUGUAUUCCUUUGUUCUGCUUAAGUAUUUAUACUCAAUGCGUCAAUGACUCUCAGGCACUCUCCAGCCUUCGUUUAUUUCAGACUCCGCGGAGGAGGAAGAGGUGUCCUUCUGCUACAGCACAAGAGGGGUGCAUGCAGGCUAAUUGCCCUGUGUUGGCUGCCUGGUGGGACCCACUGGCCACAGGGAACCAAUGCACACAAUUGGAGCUGAUCUUUCUCUGUCUCUUCUCCAUCAGAUAAUUUCAACUGGAGACAGGGAUGGAUGGAAAAACUUACACUCCCAAGACAUCAGGCCUCACCAGCAAUCUUGGGCUUCUCAUUUAAAUUCCCUGAGUUUUUACUGAAGAAGUUUGCAAAGACCAGGGUGAAGGCUAUAUUGGACUGCCCAGGGAACCACACUCUUCAGGGACUGUGGACAUUAGGAAGACAUGUCCAGUUGACAGUGAACGGCUAAGCCAAGGGCCUCCCUAUUCCCUGAAGCACAACAAUAUUGAAAUUGGGCCAAUUAAUAAUCCUACGAUGGCCUCCAAAUGUUCAGAAAGAAGACCCUGGGACCAAUGUGGAAAUAAGUUGAAAAUGGACUAGAGGUAGAGAUUAUACUUUGGAAUCUGUUUUAAAUCAGCGAGAGAUGGUGAUGGAUGAUCGAUGAAUUGGAUUACGAAGAGGGAUGAAUGAGCAGAAUUUGAUUCAGCUUAGAUGUAGUCAGGGAGGGAGAAGGAAGAAUCAAGUCUGAUUCCUAGUUUCCUCGUCUGGGCAACCAGAUGGAUGGUGAUGCCUUUCAUUGAGAAAUGUGACGUAUGAAGAGGACCGACUCCUUUAUGGGGAGGAGUGGCAGGUGCCGGUGAAACUUCCAGGUAAAGAAGUCCAGUAGGCAGUGGAAUGUUCAUAUCUGGAUCUCACACAAGAGCUCUGGAGUUAUAAUCUUGUGUAUAAGGGCUUGAUAUCAUGAAUUUCAGAGAUAUCUGAAUAACAAUUUCUUGUUUUAUUUCCCUAGCACUAACUUUAGGGAUGCUCUUGGACUAGGCUGUGUUAGCCUAGGGAAGCUGAGAAUAUAGGAUUUGUUCAUGUCUGAAUAUCCUCUGUACUGCACCUUAGCUAUCACACUGUACAUUGUAUAACUCUGAGAUUGAUGAGUUACCUUGCCUAGGUGAGGCAGUCUCUUCAGAAGGCUAUGUAUAGGACCGGUUUAGCUUUACGUAUAUAAGGCUAGGACUGAAGGGGAAGUAAAGUUUCCAGAAGGUCUGAUGUUAUAUAUUCCAGAAGGUCUGACUAUUUGGAAGGUCUAGAAGCUUGCACUUUCAUAUCUUGGUUGAUAUUACAACUAUAUUCCUUUCUGUAUCCCUUAGAUAUGUAAAUCCAAGUGUUAUCCCUAUUGUGGUAUUUCUGUUAAUCUGGACAUUCUAUUGGUAUUUGUCAAAAUGGAGGUUAUAUUGGGUGAUAUCAAUGGAUUGGUAGGAAUUGAAGUCAUGGUGUGUAUAAGAUCACUUGGGAGGAUAAAUUAAGAAAAGAGAGCUGGGAACAGAAUCCUGGGAAAUACUAAUAUUUAUGGAGUAGGUGAAAGAGAGAAAAGUCCAAGAGGAGAAUAAAUGAAUGAUGAUGAAAUCUCAGGGAUUGAACAACUAGCAAGGUAGAUUGAGUAAUAUUUGUAUGUCAUCCUUAAACUGAGAUAGAUGUUUCAGAAUGAUAUUAGAUGUUUUCUUCUUACACAUGAAUACAUGCUCAUUGUUAGAUUAACUUUCUAAAAGAUUCAUAACAAAGGCUCAGAAAAAGAUGGGUUUCCUAAUUUUCAACUAGAAAGUUAAAACUUGUUGAUAAUUAAGUCUAUUUAGAAGUUAAUAAAACACUUAGCGUGAGUAAUGACCUCAAAAGUUACCUUUUUCUAUUUAAAACAUUUACUCAACACUUAAUGUGUGCUAGGUAUUGUGCUUUACCUGCAAUAUCUCAUUUAGAUAUUAGAACUACCUCAUGAGAUGGCACUUGUAUUUUCUUCUUUUAAAGAAGUAGAAGGCACCCCAAUGUUCAUUGCAGCACUGUUUACAUUAGCCAGGUCAUGGAAGCUACCUAAAUGCCCAUCGACAGAUGAACAGAUGAAGAAGAUGUGGUACAUAUAUACAAUGGAAUAUUACUCAGCCAUAAAAAGGAACGAUAUUGGGUCAUUUGUUGAGACGUGGAUGGAUCUGGAGACUGUCAUACAGUGUGAAGUAAGUCAGAAAAACAAAUAUCGUAUAUUAACGCAUAUAUGUGGAACCUAGAAAAAUGGUACAGAUGAACCGGUUUGCAGCGCAGAAGUUGAGACACAGAUGUAGAGAACAAACGUAUGGACACCAAGGGGGAAAAGCCGCGGGGGGGUGGGGAUGUGGUGUGAUGAACUGGGCGAUUGGGAUUGACAUGUAUACACUGAUGUGUAUAAAAUUGAUGACUAAUAAGAAUCUUCUGUAUAAAAAAAUAAAUAAAAUUUAAAAAUUAAAAAUAAAUAAAGAAGUGGAAACUGAAAAUUUGAGAGGUUAAAUAAUUUGCUGGAGUCACCCAGAUAGUAACUAACAGGGCAGAGAUUCAAAUGGAGGGCUUUUUGACUUGAGAGCAUGAGGCUUAGCUACUAUUUGAUAAUGCUGUAAAAGCAUUACUUAUGGUAAUAAAAGGUUACAUUUAUCAGGCAUUUAUUAGUGUGAUGUUCAAUGAAGACAGAUUCUGUAGGCACAUUACACUCAUACCAACAUUUACAGGUGUGCUACAAUUUUAAAAGUACUUCCUGAUAUACCCGAAAACAAUAAUACAUAUUUGAAAAAUUUGUUUUUGGUACUAAAAGAGAAAUGAUUCUGUUUUCAGAAUGCUAACUCCUGAGUUUAUCUGAUUUCUUAACUUGUGAAACCAAAAAUUGUUUUUACCUUUGCUAACUUGCUUGGUUUUGGAAUAAAGUCAUGCAUUGUUCCUGGGGCAAUACAGCCUCUCUGGGCAUAUGUAAGUGGAAAACUAUUUGUUCUUGUUUUUUUUUAAAGAAAUUUACAGAAUACUAGCUAUAGGUAAUUGUUACACAUUAAGAAAAUUUUGGCGUUUCAAAUCAUUUUGUGUCACUUUUAAUUAAUGAAUUCCAACUGCAUUCCCUCAACUAUAUAUAAUAGAGAUGUAAAAGACUCUAGGAAGAUUGAUUUUGAGUAAAUCAUGCCAAAGUUAC